GUAGGGAAUAUUGCGCAAUGGGCGAAAGCCUGACGCAGCGACGCCGCGUGGGUGAUGAAGGCCUUCGGGUCGUAAAGCCCUGUCGAGGGGGACGAAUCGGUUGCGACCUAACACGUCGUGAUCCUGACGGUACCCCUAAAGGAAGCACCGGCUAACUCCGUGCCAGCAGCCGCGGUAAUACGGAGGGUGCUAGCGUUGUUCGGAAUCACUGGGCGUAAAGCGCGUGUAGGCGGCCCACUAAGUCUGAUGUGAAAGCCCGGGGCUCACCCCCGGAAGUGCAUUGGAAACUGGUGGACUCGAGUCCCGGAGAGGAGGGUGGAAUUCCUGGUGUAGCGGUGAAAUGCGUAGAUAUCAGGAGGAACACCGGUGGCGAAGGCGGCCCUCUGGACGGUGACUGACGCUGAGACGCGAAAGCGUGGGGAGCAAACAGGAUUAGAUACCCUAGUAGUCC
rnacentral:rRNA from 1 species